ensembl:ncRNA asRNA:CR46105 antisense RNA:CR46105
CACACACACACAAGCGUGUAUGUAUGCAUGCAGGCAUCGAAUCGGAAGCCGGAAGAACUCACCCUCGAACGUCCCGCCGUAGAUGGACUCGCCGCCGGUGCCGUUGCCCGCAGAGAAGUCGCCCGCCUGGACCAUGAAGUCCUUGACCACCCGGUGGAAUAUCACACCCUUGUACUGCAGCUUCUUGCCGGUGAUUAGGCCAAAUCCCUUUUCGCCCGUGCAGAGUGCGCGGAAAUUUUCGGCCGUUUUGGGCGCCACAUCGUUGAAGAGCUCGAAGACAAUGCGGCCCAUGCCCAGGCCGCCCAGGGAAAUGUCAAAGAAGCACCGCGGUCGCGUGGCACCCGCGUCGCGUUUGUUUACCGUCAUUAUAUGCGCCGAUUUCUGCCAAU